rnacentral:snRNA from 1 species
UAAAAUACCUGGCAAGGGAGAUACCAUGAUCACAAAGGUGGUUUCCCCAGGGUGGGGCUUAUCCAUUGCACUCUGGAUGUGCUGAUCACUGAGAUUUCCCCAAAUGUGGGAAACUCAAAUGCAUAAUUUAUAGUAAUGGGGGACUGUGGUUGUGUUGUCUCCUG